rnacentral:rRNA from 1 species
CCUACGGGUGGCAGCAGUGGGGGAUCUUGCACAAUGGGGGAAACCCUGAUGCAGCGACGCCGCGUGGGCGAAGAAGUAUUUCGGUAUGUAAACUUCUAUCAGCAGGGAAGAAAAUGACGGUACCUGACUAAGACGCACCGGCUAACUACGUGCCAGCAGCCGCGGUAAUAAGUAGGGGGCAAGAGUUAUCCGGAUUUACUGGGGGUAAAGGGGGUGUAGGCGGGUUAGCAAGUCAGAAGUGAAAGCCCGGGGGUCAACUCCGGGACUGCUUUUGAAACUGUUUCACUAGAUUGCAGGAGAGGUGAGUGGAAUUCCUAGUGUAGCGGUGAAAUGCGUAGAUAUUAGGAGGAACACCAGUGGCGAAGGCGGCUUACUGGACUGUAAAUGACGCUGAGGCUCGAAAGCGUGGGGAGCAAACAGGAUUAGAUACCCGAGUAGUC